GUGGAUGCUCUCCCUCUGCCUUGCCCGCGACC
rnacentral:scRNA from 1 species